AAUGUCACAAAACAUCAGAGUAUUUAUUACAUAGCGGAAGACUUAUUACAAAGUAAAAGAAUAUAAAAUGAACUAAGGAUCGUCGGCGCCAAUGUCAACUGAGAAACGCCACCUAGAUCAGAUCAUACUCCUCGCCUUGUGGCUCCUCCUGAACCACCUGUUCUUCUCCUGUGGGGGGGUGUGAGACAGCAAGAGUGAGCUCACAUACGUUCAUCGCUCAACAAGUUGUGGGGAAUAAUGUGGCAUGAACUCACCAAAGGUGGGAGUUCAUGAAGUGUAAGGCUGAUCAAUGGAAUAAAGGCUGAAGCUGAGCAUUGCUUUUAUAAGUUGGUCAAAAUUUUAUUAGCAAUUACUAAGUGUAAGUAAAUACCAAACCUUAAUAAUAAUAAAGAAAAUAAUAGUAAAAUAAUCCCAAAUGCGAUGCAAAUGUCAAAUUAAAUUUAAGUUCCAUAAAUUAUUCAUGUGAGGGUCCGAGCCGCUCAUGACCGUGAGCACGGCUAGUAUACUAGUUUUACACUCUGCAGAGGUUGUGCAUCUUUACCCACAAGUCAUGUUACCCAUCUGCCAAGAGAUGGCCAAUCCCAUACACCUCUACCGAGGAGGCGAGGCAGGGUAACACUACGAGGCCUUUACAAAGUUCCACUAGCUUCAGAAAUCCCGCUACAGUUUAUAGGAAGCUCCAAUGCAGGGUUCUUGCCUGACCGCCAUCGCAGCAAAAUCAACCCAAGGACCUCCCUACACUGACCACUCCCCUACUGCCCUUGCCCCUUUCGGGUAAGGAAGACCUCCACUAGCUUUCCUAGUUAAUCAGCCAAGGGCGUCCCAUUAUACCCUUGUGGUAGCACUGUUUUCCCGGGUGGUCGCUCCAUGUUCCCAUUAACAUAAUGAUCUUAACAUGAACAGUAAUAAUAAAAGAGAAUAAAAGAGUAAUUAUGAAUAAAGUAUCUUCAUACCCAAAUCCACAUAAAGCAAUAGCAGGUACUACCCAAAGAAAUAUUUCAGUGGUAAACAAGGUAUAAAGAUAGCCAAAACUAGGGUAACCUAUUGGGUCCCAUCAAAAUUAUCCUAUGCAGAUCAUUAUAAUUAAUAAGAACAUGGCUGGGAAAAAGUAAGUGAUCAAGGGCACAACUUGCCUUCAAUGAGCUCCUGCUCAGCUACUUCUACUUGCUGAACCUCAGAUUCCACAGUAGCUUGAUCGUCUACUCGCAUCAACACAAUACAUACAUAGUAUAGCAAAAAUCAACAUCACACCAAACAUGUAAAUAAAAUACAUUGUUGGGGGCCUUCGGCUUCCGAAGGUCCUCAAAAACAUGAUUUAACAGUGUUUCUAGAGUAUAAUGUGUGAACAGGUAUCUUCGGACUCGUAUCAGAGAGGGAGAAGCUCAAAAGAUACGAAGGUUGACACAGCGCCGAAGCUGUGAAGCAGGAAAGCUUCGGCAUGUUCGCAGAAAAGGGAACCGACUUGAAGAUGAAAAGGCCAUUUAGACCUCGAUAGAUUACUAUAGAAUUACCACCAAAUGUAAAGGGCAUGUAUGUAAUUUUGUAUGGGUUGUACCCCGUGCCUAUAAAUAGGUGAACAGUACCCCCGUACUGUUCACGCUGAUUUGGUGUUCACUUUUGCGUCACGCUUGUACUUUCAUUUCCUUCAAAUUGGAGGUACAUCUGUAAUUCAAUGUUAUUUUUAUUUAUAUAUAAUAAUGAUAUAUGAUGAUCUACGCAAUUCUUUAUGUUUCUUGUAAUUCAUUCUUCGUCAAUAUGUAAUGCAUUUCUAAAGGUUCGCCCUUUGUGACCUUCGUCUGAAAAUCAUUAUAUCCCAAGGGAAAUAAUGCUUCGUAGGACGAAGGACUUAACCGAUUAACAUUUUCUGUGUUGCCUUGUUCUUGAAGCAUUUGAGAACAAGUCCCCAACAUACAUUAUAAAAAUCUACAUAUUAAAAUAAAAUCAUAGGAACUGGAAUCGUUAAAUUUGGAUUUAUAGAUUUCAAGUUAUGAAUUUCCUAAGGUUUUGUGUAUUUAAUACAUGAUUAAGUACUAGAUAAAUUUUAAUGUGUUUUCAUGCCAAAACAGUGGCACAAAUGGAUAGACAAUAAUAUUACAAAAAUUUAGGAACUGGAAUGGACCAAUUUGGACUAAAAAUGGAAUUUCUAUGAAUUUUACAAGUUCUAGCUUUGUUUUUGUAUUAAAAAUGUAUUUUCUAAUUCAUUUAAUCUGAUUUUCCCCUUUUCUGGAUUGUGCCACAAUAAUCAGAAAGUUCAGGGGCCUCAACAUAAGUUUUCCUAAGACACAGAGAGAUACUAGCGAGGAUGGCGGGUUAUUUUUAGAUAAAAAGAGGGACUCAUAUGCAAAACUUACAGGCCGAAGGGGUAUCGUCCGUUUCAGGCCACCCGAUUACAACUGAACGGCUCAGAUCUAAUCUGAACCGGUACACGCUCCUGACCGCCAGAUCUCGAUCUAACGGCUACGAGUUCAGAACUACGCGAUCCAAUCUAACGCGUGAGAUCUCAAUCCAACGGUUCCUAUUUGGCUACCCCCAGAUUUAAUCCAAACCGCCCAAUCGUUGAUCCGACGGCAAGCGGCAUUCUUCUACAUCAGACCGACCGACCGCCAUGGCGUUCACCAGCCCACGACGGCGCUUUCCAGACGCGAUGCCCCAGAGGUGCGCUGAGAGUGCGUCCCUAUUCCACUUCUGCAACGCAGCCCUGGCAAGUUCCACUCCACAUCCUCCUCCAUUGCAUCGGUGGCCGCAGGAGCAUCAGCCGGAGAUUGCCACCAGCGUGACCCCAAUAUCCUCGCCUUGCCUCUCGCUUAGCCAGCGGCCCAGCGUAUUGCGCACCCCGUUCACUGCACCCAUUCACGCUUCGUUUCGGUCAUGCGCUGUAUGUGUACGACUACGCACGCGCGGCAUACAACGGAGGAUUACUGGAGCGCGGCAUGCCUAGCUCCCAGGCUUAUCCAACCCCAGCCUUGCUACGCGCAGAGAAGAAAACGAAACAGGAACCACAGGGAGAAGGAAUAGGGAUAGCUCACCAGAGUUCUUAGCACAAAGGGUCUCGCCCGCGGCGGGCACCAGAUCCGUGGUGGAGCCAUAAAUCCUGAUGAGAAAACUUGUCCC
rnacentral:lncRNA from 1 species